CAACUUCCAUUGUAGUCUCUGUUAUCCUUACUCUCUCACAAAUCUCCAUCUCUUUCCUCUUUCCUCUCCAUUUCUCUUAUGAAAAAGCUCCGACGCUUUAAGCUUCGAAAGCGUCUUAUUCUUUUCUCGAGGUGGUUCGGUCGAAAUAUUCGACCCAUGACAUCCUUGUCAUCGGUUAGAUAUUACAGACUGACCCAGGAGGCUAACUCGUUGAAAGAACCCAAGUUGUCCUCAAAGCUCCUCAGUUGGGGUCGCCAGCUGAGUUUUCUUCGACAACGUGUGUCGACCGAGGAGAAGCCUGAUCACCUAGUGCCGAAAGGUCAGUUGGCCGUGUACGUAGGAGAAAGCGGAGGAGGAUUGAGCCGGGUUUUGGUGCCGGUGGUGUAUUUCAAACACAGGCUUUUCAUCGAGCUACUAAGGGAGGCAGAGGAGGAGUAUGGGUUUAGACAUGAGAAAGGGAUUACUUUGCCUUGUGGGUAUUCGGAGUUUGAGAGGAUUCAGACUAAGAUUCGGGAUUGUCGACGGAGUUGGGCGCGGUGGAGAAGCUCCGGCAGCUGCUGCUCGCCGGAGAGGGGUGAUGUUGAUUUGUGGAGGCUCUUGGAACUUUGAUUGAAAAGAUCAAGGGAUGAGUGGUUUUUGACUUUUCUUCUACAGUGGAUGGUUUUGGACGUUUUUUCUUUUUCUUUUUUGGGUGUGGAUGUGAUGUAAAUUAGUUUUUUAGUUUAUACUAAAAAAUAAUAUUAAUCUUUUGAAAAAUUAAUACUUGCUUAGUGGGACUGCUUAUAUGUGGUUUAUUUGUGUCAUCAUAUGCUUCUUUCUCUUGCACAUGGAACUUGAUAAUAUAAAUUUAUUUCAAAUUAACUUCUAAUUGUUCAAAAAAAAAGAAAAGAAAAGGAAGAGACUAAAAUUGGAAAUAAAGUAAGCGGUUGGUAUCUUGGACGGUCAACUUAUAACUGCCUACUCUCAAUAGCAUCUCGCUUACAACUACGUUUUCUUCCUCACUCAAUCUAUGCUCUCUUCUUCUUCUUCUUCUUCUUCAGUCCAUUCUCAAGCAUUCUCGCAGAAGCAUCUCUCUUUGAUGCUAUAAAGUCACGCAAAUCUGCUUUCUUUUCGUUUUUGGUUCUUCUUUUCUGCACAUGCAUGAAGUCUAACUUUUAUGGAUAUGGCGGCCUAUUUCCAUGAAGGGAUUUUUUCCCCUUCCUUUUGAUUACAGGAGAAUUUCGAUUUUCCGUUGCUUCAUUGCUUUAAUUUUUGAUCGAUGGGGGUUUGGGUUUGUUAUAUCUAAUCAUUUAGUUUUGUGUUUAAGGGAUUUCCACCAUUCUUUUCGAUUACUGGAGAAUUAGGUUUCCCGUUGAUUCUCAUACCAAUUUUAUUUUUUGAUCGAUGGGUUUUGUUGUAUUGAAUCAUUUAGUUUCUUUUUGCAACUGGGGUUUCUAAGAAUGUGCUUUAUUGUUCUGAAUUUUCUCUUGCUAACUUUCGUCUAGGCUUUGACCACGAGCGAUGUGAGAGAUAUGUACUAGUGCGUGGAUCAAUUACUGAGAUUUAUUUGAGCACAAGACAGAGUAAUGGAUGUCAAUUUGUUGAAACUGAAGUAUGGUUUGAUUUGCUAAUAAUGUGGCGUUUGGGUUGAGUUGGGUUGCAAGAUGUUAAUUCUCUCAAGAGGACGAAGACAAGGAAGCUUUCCCUACGUUGGUCCAUGAACAUCCCUAGUUUUGGAAAUGGAAGACUCUUGUUCAUGACAAAACCUUUUAACAGAACACAUGCUAAACUUGAAACAUUAUUGCAUCUUAUAUAUAUCAACAUGAAAAGUUUUCAGUACUAUAAAAUUAUGUACUUUCUCCUUUGAACAUUUAACUCGAUUUUAAAUUAAUUAAGAAAAAAUAUCGAUUUAUUCUA